rnacentral:rRNA from 1 species
GAUGAACGCUGGCGGCGUGCCUAACACAUGCAAGUCGAGCGGCAGCGCGGUCUUCGGACUGGCGGCGAGCGGCGGACGGCUGAGUAACGCGUGGGAACGUGCCCCAAAGUGAGGGAUAAGCACCAGAAAUGGUGUCUAAUACCGCAUAUGGUCUUCGGAUUAAAGCUUCGGCGCUUUGGGAGCGGCCCGCGUCUGAUUAGAUAGUUGGUGAGGUAAAGGCUCACCAAGUCGACGAUCAGUAGCUGGUCUGAGAGGAUGAUCAGCCAGACUGGAACUGAGACACGGUCCAGACUCCUACGGGAGGCAGCAGUGAGGAAUCUUCCACAAUGGGGGCAACCCUGAUGGAGCAACGCCGCGUGCAGGAUGAAGGCCUUCGGGUCGUAAACUGCUUUUAUUAGCGAAGAAUAUGACGGUAACUAAUGAAUAAGGGUCGGCUAACUACGUGCCAGCCGCCGCGGUAA